rnacentral:rRNA from 1 species
CGGCCUUGACAUACUAAGAACUUUCCAGAGAUGGAUUGGUGGCCUUCGGGAACUUAGAUACAGGUGCUGCAUGGCUGUCGUCAGCUCGUGUCGUGAGAUGUUGGGUUAAGUCCCGCAACGAGCGCAACCCUUUUCCUAUUUGCCAGCGGGUCAUGCCGGGAACUUUAAGGAUACUGCCAGUGACAAACUGGAGGAAGGCGGGGACGACGUCAAGUCAUCAUGGCCCUUACGGCCAGGGCUACACACGUGCUACAAUGGUCGGUACAAAGGGUUGCUACCUCGCGAGAGGAUGCUAAUCUCAAAAAAGCCGAUCGUAGUCCGGAUCGCAGUCUGCAACUCGACUGCGUGAAGUCGGAAUCGCUAGUAAUCGCGGAUCAGAAUGCCGCGGUGAAUACGUUCCCGGGCCUUGUACACACCGCCCGUCACACCAUGGGAGUUUGUUGCACCAGAAGUAGGUAGUCUAACCGCAAGGAGGACGCUUACCACGGUGUGGCCGAUGACUGGGGUGAAGUCGUAACAAGGUAAGCGUAGAUGA